GACAUAGGUGGCGAACGUUAUCCGGAAUUAUUGGGCGUAAAGGAUGCGUAGAUGGUAAAAUAAGUUAUUGGUCGAUGUUAAACUCAAUUUGACGGAAGCUGGUAAUACUAUUCUACUUGAGGAUAGAAGAGGUUGGCGGAACUCUAUGUGGAGGGGUGAAAUCCGUUGAUCUGUAGAGGACCACCAAAAAGGCGAAGGCAGCCAACUAUUCUACUCCUGACGUUGAGGCAUGAAAGCGUGGGUAGCAAACCGG
rnacentral:rRNA from 1 species